AUUGCAAAACUAACCCUUUACUUAUUUAGGUCUCAAAAAUGACCCAAUUCGGACAAAAAUACCCCCUCACCCCCUCAGUUAUCUUUUUCAGCCCUUUUUCCCUCCAACUCCAAUUUUCUCUUGUAUUGUGUCUCUUCGUUACCCUUUUUCCCUCCAACUCCAAUUUUCUCUUGUAUUGUGUCUCUUCGUUACCCUGCAAACCCAUUUGUUCCAUCUGUUAACCUGCGAAAAAGAAAUCACGAAGGAUUUUUCCGUUUAUUGCAAGAGAACAAAAAGGCAACACAAUACAAAGAAAAAACAGAAAUUCAUGAAAAUGGAGGAAGAAAAAAAUUCUGUGAUGAAAAAUACGAAACAGAAGAGGUAUAAAAUUUUGGAAAAAAAGAGAAGUGAAAGAAAGCCAGGUUUUGAAACCUCUUCAUCGUCAUCAGAAAAUGAGAAGAAAUCAACUGAUUCAAUUGACAUUCCUCCUCCUCUCCUAUCUUUUAUAUCUAAAAUAUCUAAAGAGGAGUACUUUCCUGGAAAAAUUGCAUGUUUGUCUCACUUGGUAGCCAUUGAAAAUAUUAAGAAGAAAUUGACUGAACCACAAUUGGAGAUGUUUAGAAAAUCAUGUUUUGGUCAUUUUUUACUCCUUCCCGAACUUAGAUUUUCAGCCCAAAUUGUUCAUCAAUUGUUGUUAC